UUUGAUCAUGGCUCAGAUUGAACGCUGGCGGCAUGCCUUACACAUGCAAGUCGAACGGCAGCACGGGGGCAACCCUGGUGGCGAGUGGCGAACGGGUGAGUAACAUAUCGGAACGUGCCCUGGAGUGGGGGAUAACUAGUCGAAAGAUUAGCUAAUACCGCAUACGAUCUACGGAUGAAAGUGGGGGAUCGCAAGACCUCAUGCUCGUGGAGCGGCCGAUAUCUGAUUAGCUAGUUGGUGGGGUAAAGGCCUACCAAGGCAUCGAUCAGUAGCUGGUCUGAGAGGACGACCAGCCACACUGGGACUGAGACACGGCCCAGACUCCUACGGGAGGCAGCAGUGGGGAAUUUUGGACAAUGGGCGCAAGCCUGAUCCAGCAAUGCCGCGUGAGUGAAGAAGGCCUUCGGGUUGUAAAGCUCUUUUGUCAGGGAAGAAACGGUGAGGGUAAUAUCC
rnacentral:rRNA from 1 species